UAGGGAAUAUUGGGCAAUGGAGGAAACUCUGACCCAGCAACGCCGCGUGAAGGAUGAAGGUCUUCGGAUUGUAAACUUCUGUUGUGGGAGAAAAAUAAAUGAUGGUAUCUCAUGAGUAAGCUCCGGCCAACUAUGUGCCAGCAGCCGCGGUAAUACAUAGGGAGCAAGCGUUGUCCGGAAUUACUGGGCGUAAAGAGAGCGUAGGCGGUCUUUCAAGUCGGUGGUGAAAUCCCAGGGCUCAACUCUGGAACUGCCUCCGAAACUGUAAGACUAGAGUGUGGGAGAGGAAGAUGGAAUUUCAAGUGUAGCGGUGGAAUGCGUAGAUAUUUGAAGGAACAUCGGUGGCGAAGGCGAUCUUCUGGAACACAACUGACGUUGAGGCUCGAAAGCGUGGGGAGCAAACAG
rnacentral:rRNA from 1 species